rnacentral:rRNA from 1 species
GACGAACGCUGGCGGCGUGCUUAACACAUGCAAGUCGAACGGAAAGGCCCUGCUUUUGUGGGGUGCUCGAGUGGCGAACGGGUGAGUAACACGUGAGUAACCUGCCCUUGACUUUGGGAUAACUUCAGGAAACUGGGGCUAAUACCGGAUAGGAGCUCCUGCUGCAUGGUGGGGGUUGGAAAGUUUCGGCGGUUGGGGAUGGACUCGCGGCUUAUCAGCUUGUUGGUGGGGUAGUGGCUUACCAAGGCUUUGACGGGUAGCCGGCCUGAGAGGGUGACCGGCCACAUUGGGACUGCGAUACGGCCCAGACUCCUACGGGAGGCAGCAGUGGGGAAUAUUGCACAAUGGGCGGAAGCCUGAUGCAGCAACGCCGCGUGCGGGAUGACGGCCUUCGGGUUGUAAACCGCUUUCGCCUGUGACGAAGCGUGAGUGACAGUAAUGGGUAAAGAAGCACCGGCUAACUACGUG